rnacentral:lncRNA from 1 species
CUUCUGCAUGGAGAGGCGGUGAACAUUGACAUGGCUUUCAUGGUCUAUGUGGCUCACGAAAGGGGCUUUCUGACAGAAGAGGAGAAAAGACGUAUCAUUGUGUGUAUGCGGAGCCUAGAUCUUCCUGUGUGGCAUUCAGACUGCACUCUGGAUCUAGUACUGAAGUCCCUUACUGAACGACUCAAGCACUCAGGAGGAUUUCUGAGAAUGCCUCUACCCACAGCGCUGGGAAAAGCAAGAAUCUUCAAUGACACAGAAGAGAGCAUUGUGUGCCAAGCGUUCAAGAAAUGGUGUGAUGAACAGUGUGAAACCACCAUGAAACCAGAAUAACACAAAUGUUGAGUCUGAUUAUAUUCCUGAACCAAGAAAAACAUCUGUGCUGCAAAAAGAAACACAUCAAAUCAUGAAUGAAAACCUCCAGAAAUUGUGAAAACCACUCAGUUUUAUUUCAACGUCUGUAACAUUUUCAUUCACAAUACACUUGACAAGCUUUAAAACCCAACAAUGAAAUGCUACGUUCCUUAUAAAGCUCACAUAAAGAGUGAAAGGUGACUUUCCCAACAGGUUUAAAGUGGGCUGGCUUCCAGCACUGAAUUCAUAGGAAGUUAAUGCUUUAUAAAGAAAUUCAACCAAAAAAAAAAAUCAACAUUACAAGCUAUCUUAAGUCCUUUCUUAAAUAAUGUUUGGUUAAGCUUCAAAAAUAUAAAACAAAAGUAUAUUAACAAAACGAAAGCCAUCUCUAGCCAAGACACUUCUAUAAAAGACCGACUGUGUUUGUUAUUAAAAGGCGUUUAGUUGAAGUUCGACGGAAGCCUGUUUUGAAGGCACCUUUCAUUGAUGUCACUGAUACGUAUGCAUUCAUACAGGAGCCUUGUGCUUUACCUGUUACCUGAUUGUCUGAAUUAUUGCUCAGAAAAAAAUUGCAACAGCCAGUUUUGCUAUAAAUCCACAACGAGAUACAUAACAGUUUCACUGCAUAUUUAGACUCCACUUGGAAUUUGGCAACAUUUUAGUAGUCAACACUGCGUAACAUCACAUUCAGAGGAUGACUUUCAGUAGUUUCUGUCUAUAAGGGAAGGAGAUUAUGUAAUACACUAUUCUUGAAAGUUUUGUAGUGCUUCAAGACACUUCAGCGUUAAGCCAGAAUACAAUACAAUCUUGAUCAAACCCUGCGGGUCAGUAUUAACUAGGUUUGGUGGUCCUACUGAGAGAUCAUCCCCUCUACUUCAACCGAGGACCGAACCGGUUAGGUUCCACAGUCUAAGACUAAGUCUAAAAUCACACAUAUAGAAUAGAACAUUUCAUUUAAAGGAAUAGUUCAUACAAAAUUGAAAAUUAGGAACAUCGUCGUCUUACUCUCACGUAGCGCUAAACCCAUGUACUGUACAUUUUUACAAAUGUAGUUUUUAUUUUAUUUUUUUUCCUUUUUGGAAAUUGGCAGUCCCUGUUGGAAGCCUGUUUCAGCAUGGAAUAAAAAUAAAUAGGUAAUUGUGACUCUCGCAAUUCAGAUUUUUUCCCCCCCUCAGAAUUAAAUUAUUUUUUUAAGUAAAAAAAAUACGUUAUUUUAAAUUUUGCGGCAGAAACAAACAAACUGAAUUUAAAGAUGUAAACUCACAAAACUGAGAACAAAAGUCCAAAUUGUAAGAUAAAAUGUUGCAAUUAUUGAAUUGCGAGACAAAAAAAAUUGCAAUUAUUUUUGCAAUUGCAAUUUAUUUUUAACAAUUUUUUAUUCAGGAACAAAAACAGAAAUGAAAGACAAACUCUCAAUUCUGAGAAGCAAACUCAGAAUUGUGAGAUAUAAACUCGCA